rnacentral:rRNA from 1 species
AAUAUUGGACAAUGGGGGCAACCCGGAUCUAGCCAUGCCGCGUGUGUGAAGAAGGUCUUCGGAUUGUAAAGCACUUUAAGUAGGGAGGAAGGGCUUUAGGUUAAUACCCUGAAGUUUUGACUUUACCAACAGAAUAUGCACCGGCUAACUCUGUGCCAGCCGCCGCGGUCAUACAGAGGGUGCAAGCGUUAAUCGGAAUUACUGGGCGUAAAGAGCGCGUAGGUGGUUCAGUAAGAUGGGUGUGAAAUCCCCGGGCUUAACCUGGGAACUGCUUUCAUAACUGCUGAGCUAGAGUACGGUAGAGGGUAGUGGAAUUUCCUGUGUAGCGGUGAAAUGCGUAGAUAUAGGAAGGAACACCAGUGGCGAAGGCGACUACCUGGACUGAUACUGACACUGAGGUGCGAAAGCGUGGGGAGCAAAC